rnacentral:lncRNA from 1 species
UACUGGUGUUUCCUAUUCAACUCAGUGAGUAAGCAAUGGAAAACAUGGUGGCAAAUGGUCAGGUCAAAGCUCUGCCCAGAUAGAUGCCUAUAUUACUGAGAUAUGUGAGGGGACAGCUGGGGCAGUGGAGACUUCCUGCAGAGGCUGCAGCAGCACUAAGAUAUCUGGAGGACCUAAGGACAUGUAGCUCUCUAAAGACACACAGUCAUCUUUAAACACCAAGUUAAACUCUUUAAUGAUUGUUCAUUGGAAAUAAAUACUUGAUAUGAUGACUCA